AGAAGAAUAACAGUGCACUUCUCCUUUGGCAGAGACCUUACUUCUCAAGUUUCUGUUUCCGCCAAAGGAGAAUUGCCCUGCCAUUCACCC
rnacentral:pre_miRNA from 1 species